UCAGGAAGUCGGCAAAACGGAUCCGUAACCUUGGGAAAAGGAUUGGCUCUGAGGGCUGAGCCGGUCGGGCUGGGGUCCAGAAGCAGGAACUGCACUGCACCGGGACUGGGCGAGGCUCGCCGCCGUAAAAAGCGGUGCGGCCGAGCACGGACCAGCGUCGGGACCUUCCUGUGGAAAGCCACAGCUGUGCAUUUUCCGUGGGCUUCGCGCCUGAGGUUCUUGCUUCGGCCGGCAGAAAACAGGCAACUCAGAACUGGCACGGACCGGGGGAAUCCGACUGUCUAGUUAAAACAAAGAGAGA